AUUGAACGCUGGCGGCAUGCUUUACACAUGCAAGUCGAACGGCAGCGCGGGCUUCGGCCUGGCGGCGAGUGGCGAACGGGUGAGUAAUGCAUCGGAACGUGCCCAGUAGUGGGGGAUAGCCCGGCGAAAGCCGGAUUAAUACCGCAUACGACCUGAGGGUGAAAGCGGGGGACCGAAAGGCCUCGCGCUAUUGGAGCGGCCGAUGUCGGAUUAGCUAGUUGGUGGGGUAAAGGCUUACCAAGGCGACGAUCCGUAGCUGGUUUGAGAAGACGACCAGCCACACUGGGACUGAGACACGGCCCAGACUCCUACGGGAGGCAGCAGUGGGGAAUUUUGGACAAUGGGGGCAACCCUGAUCCAGCCAUGCCGCGUGCGGGAAGAAGGCCUUCGGGUUGUAAACCGCUUUUGUUCGGGAAGAAAUCCUCUGGGCUAAUACCCCGGGGGGAUGACGGUACCGGAAGAAUAAGCACCGGCUAACUACGUG
rnacentral:rRNA from 1 species